UUUUAUCAUAAAGAAUUUAUUUAAGUAGUAUUAGAAGCUCUUGAAACUUAAAGAAUUUGGCGGUAUAUUAAUCUAUUUAGAGGAACCUGUCCUGUAAUCGAUAACCCACGAUAAUUUGACCUAGAUUUGGUAAAACAGCUUGUAUACCGCUGUCGUAAGAUUAUUUUUUUUGAAAUUUUUCUUUAAUAGAGUAACUAUAAAUGACAAGUCAAGGUGCAGUAUAUGUUUAGGGUUGAGAUGGGUUACAAUUAAUGAAUUAAAUAUUAUGAAUAAUUUAUUGUAAAUAUAAUUUUAAAGGUGGAUUUAAUUGUAAUUUAGGAUUAGAAUUCUUAAAUGGAAAAGUUCUAAUAUAUGU
rnacentral:rRNA from 1 species